rnacentral:ncRNA from 1 species
AUUAGAUAAAGGCAAACUCAUUGAAAAAUGAGGACGCAAAGCCACGGAUCUAAGGUGUGUAGACUAUGAUAGCCGGGUUGCCAAG